GGCGAUUCAUGCAAGCAAUUGAUUGUUAUACGUUAAUAUUCCGGUAACGGGAUUCAUAACCUCGGGGUCGGUGGUUCAAGUCCACCUAUCGCCACCA
rnacentral:tRNA from 1 species